CCGCCUUAUUAACAUCAAUAAGGCAGACCCAGGCUUCAGUGGGAUUCCUGGUGGGCUAGAAACCACAAUUGCAGCAGAGAAGGAAUUAAAGGUCGAUGAGCUGCCAAAUGGUGAUGUGGUUAUUCAAGUCAUACCAGAAUCAGAUUCAGAAGCAGAGAGACGUGCAGUGUUCGAUUUGGACACGAUAGAAUUAGACAGAGGAAGCCAGUCCACCGGC